rnacentral:sRNA from 1 species
UCCCCCAUGACCAACUCCCUUGCUCGGUCGAAGAGGACGACCUUCCCCGAAUAGAGGAGGACCGGUCUUCGGUCAAGGGUAUACGAGUAACUGCGCUCCCCUGCUAGAACCUCCAAACAAGCUCUCAAAGGCAGUAUUGCUUUUU